rnacentral:rRNA from 1 species
UACGGAGGGAGCUAGCGUUGUUCGGAAUUACUGGGCGUAAAGCGCACGUAGGCGGCUUUGCAAGUUAGAGGUGAAAGCCCGGGGCUCAACUCCGGAAUUGCCUUUAAAACUGCAUCGCUAGAGUUGUGGAGAGGUAAGUGGAAUUCCGAGUGUAGAGGUGAAAUUCGUAGAUAUUCGGAAGAACACCAGUGGCGAAGGCGACUCGCUGGACAGGUAUUGACGCUGAGGUGCGAAAGCGUGGGGAGCAAACAGG